AGCCAUGCAGUGAACAUGGAGCGAACUAUUCAUUCGCCUUUUACUAAAGAAUACCGUGUGCUCGCUGCAAAUUGUGUCAUAUGCCUAUUUUUGGUGGGGUUUCUUUCACAAAGAAA